rnacentral:rRNA from 1 species
UACGGGGGGGGUAAGCGUUGUUCGGAAUUACUGGGCGUAAAGGGCUCGUAGGCGGCCAACUAAGUCAGACGUGAAAUCCCUCAGCUUAACCGGGGAACUGCGUCUGAUACUGGAUGGCUUGAGUUUGGGAGAGGGAUGCGGAAUUCCAGGUGUAGCGGUGAAAUGCGUAGAUAUCUGGAGGAACACCGGUGGCGAAGGCGGCAUCCUGGACCAAUACUGACACUGAAAAGCGAAAGCCAGGGGAGCAAACGGG